rnacentral:rRNA from 1 species
GGUGAACGCUGACAGAAUGCUUAACACAUGCAAGUCUUUGGCGAAGCUGUGCUUGCACAGCCUAGCCAAGGCGGACGGGUGAGUAACGCGUAAGGAACUUGCCCUGCAGUCCGGGAGAACAGACGGAAACGACUGAUAAGACCUGGUAAAGUCAGGCGGACUCAUGUCCAGCCUGGUGAAAAGUGAUGCUGCAGGGGAGCCUUGCGUCCUAUUAGCUUGUUGGUGGGGUAACGGCUCACCAAGGCGAUGCUAGGUAGCCGGCCGGAGAGGGUGGCCGGCCACAAGGGGACGCAGAUACCGCCCCUACUCCUACGGGAGGCAGCAGUGGGUAAUAUUGGACUACGGGGGCAGCGCUGAUCCAGCGAUUCUGUGUGAACGAUGGAGGUUUUCGGAUUGUAAAGUGCUUUCAGCAGGGAAGAAAAAAAUGACGGUGCCAGCAGAAGAGGCGACGGCUAGAUACGUC